rnacentral:tRNA from 1 species
AUUUAAGUAGUUUAUAGAAAAUUUUGAUUUGUGGUAUCAAAGAAAUAAAUUUAUUUAUCUUAAAUU